GCCACUCACUGCUUGAAUGUGACCUCGAGAAAUGGAAAAACUUGAUUGACAAGAAGUGGAAUGAUACCAAUUGGCUGGCAAACUUUUCUUAUGUUUAUUUAUUGUUGACAAUUACCUUGUCUUCCUAAUAUAUAUAUUUUUCUAUUGGAACUUGCUCCUUGUAGAAGCAAUCAAAUGCUAACAUUGACAAUAGAAAUCAAUUGAAAACGAAGCAUAGGUGUGGGUCAAAAUCUCUCCCAGUUAGGGUACACGAGGCGACAAUUGCAAAUGGGGGCCAACUGCCAGAGUUGCCAUGUGUUUACAAAUCUACACACUUUAAUGAUGUCACAAAGCAGUGGAUUUCUCCGGAGUGCGAAGAAAAUUAUGUAUGUAUAUUUACUUUUUGUAUUAGGAUGAUUGCAAUUUUAAUUGUACCUUUAUUCAUUUUUCUUUUUUUUUUAAAUGACAGGAUAACAUGAUAAAGAUCCAAGCUGAACAUUGCUCCCAACCUGGUGUGGUUCCAAUUACUUCGAAGGAGCUAUCUGUGAAGGUGCUAAAGCCAAGGUCGGGAUAUGUUAAAGGACUCGGGUUGAGGCAUUCCUUCUCUGUCAGGACUACCAGUGCUUCGACUGACAGUGACUAUGUGAGGCGUCUAGAGAAGGAAAUACAAGAGCAAAAGGAGGAAAUUCAGUCAUAUAAAGAGGAAAUUACAACACAGAAACUUGAAAUUCAUGUACAAAAAGAGGAAAUUCAAGCACAAAAUAAAGAGAUAGGGAAGAUGAAUGGGUCGAUUGAUGAGCAUUUUGAGAUCACAUCAAACAUCAUGGAGUUUCUUAAGAAGCAAGGUUUCAAAGGACAAUUUAGAGGAUGAGGUAUCCCAUGAACUCGUACAUUGCCUUUUUGAUUGGCUUUGAUGACGUUCGGAGGCAUACUUGCAAAUGAAGAUCAACUGUUUAAUUUUUUUUCCUAAACUGAUGCUUAGUUGUAGUUGCAAAUUAAGAUUGAGUGUUGAUUUUUUUUGGUGGACUCCACGUUAGUUCAUUUUGGGAUUUGCUUUGACGAUUUUUUUGUGAUA